AAUCUAUCGUGCCAACACCGCGAACUUACUUAUGCCCUCCUGUUAUAGGCAUGCUCAAAAGGCGUGCCUAGAUGGGUGCGUAASSCAGGGGCAGGCAUCUUAUGGUGUCAGUUAGCCUGGCUGGGCGGGUCCAACACCAAUCGGGGCCUUUUGCCUUUCAGGCAAAGGGACUCGCUCGGUUGUGAGGGGUGGCUGUUUAACUUACUUCCAAUCAAUUUUUCUGAAGACAGUUCUACUGGCUGGCUUUGCCGGCUGUAGUCUGACUAACUAUGGAC
rnacentral:rRNA from 1 species